CCUACGGGAGGCAGCAGUGAGGAAUAUUGGUCAAUGGUCGGGAGACUGAACCAGCCAAGCCGCGUGAGGGAUGAAGGUACAGAGUAUCGUAAACCUCUUUUGUCAGGGAACAAAGGCGGGGACGUGUCCCCGGAUGAGUGUACCUGAAGAAAAAGCAUCGGCUAACUCCGUGCCAGCAGCCGCGGUAAUAGGGAGGAUGCGAGUGUUAUCCGGAUUUAGUGGGUUUAAAGGGUGCGAAGGCGGUCUGUUAAGUCAGCGGUCAAAGCCCGGGGCUCAACCCCGGCCCGCCGUUGAAACUGGCAGUCUCGAGUUGGAGAGAAGUAUGCGGAAUGCGCGGUGUAGCGGUGAAAUGCAUAGAUAUCGCGCAGAACUCCGAUUGCGAAGGCAGCAUGCCGGCUCCACACUGACGCUGAGGCACGAAAGCGUGGGUAUCGAACAGGAUUAGAUACCCCAGUAGUC
rnacentral:rRNA from 1 species